UCCCUGAUGGUCUAGUGGUUAGGAUUCAGCAAUUUCACUGCUGUGGCCAAGAUUCAAUCCCUGGUCUGGGAA
rfam:Sus scrofa isolate TJ Tabasco breed Duroc chromosome 13, whole genome shotgun sequence.